GUGCUUGCUUGGCAGCACGUAUACUAAAACUGGAAUGAUACAGAGAUUAGCAUGGCCCCUGUGCAAGGAUGACAUGCAAACUCGUGAAGCAUUCCAUAUUAUU
rnacentral:snRNA from 1 species